CCACAGAAGAAGACCCUUUCCCACCAUCAAUACUGGUGGCCAGGAGAAGCACAAAGAGAAGACAACCCCAACUCAGGGCAGACAUUUCCAGUGGAAUUUUGGUGAGACACAAGAACAAAUAAUGAACAAUCCCCCUUUGUUGAAUCGGAUUGAAUGAAGACUAUAUAAUAAGAAAGAGGGUUGUUCUGAGUCUUUGUUAAAGGUGACCUCCGAUAAUUU